UUUUAGUACAGAAUGUCAAAUCAGAUAAUUUAUAAAGUAAAAUUAGUGAAAUGAGACAGGUUUUUCUCACUGCUCAUUACUCAUUUUUUCUGAUAAAUUUCACUCAUUUUAACUAGGUUGUACUUCUGCUCACAGAGGGGCUUCCCGUUCCAGCUUAUCUUUUUUAGAUAUUCAGCAGAUAAUUCAAAUUCAAAAUGUGAACGGCGCUACUUAUUUUUAGAACCUUACAUAAAUACAGGCAGACAUAGGUUUGAAAAGAACUUAGGAGAGACCAGAGAACUCUGAACCAUUUGGGUAAAAAAUGUUGGUAGGCACCUGUUCUAGCUCUCUUUGGUACAGUCUGCACAGGAAAGGGAAUCUCCGUUGCCAUCUCUUCAGACAUCUCCACCUACUCGUGCUGGAGAACAGGAGAAUGUGAUAUCAUGGUGCAGGAGAAUCUUUUUUACACAUACUGUUAUAUCACAUUUGCAAUUGUACCAUUUUGGCCCUGGGAAAGAAGAGGAUGUGUGGUGGGAGCAACGCCAGCAGGAGCUAAAGGAUGAAAACUGAAGCUAGGACUGCUCUAAAAAGCACAAUGCCUUCCUGAGCAUGAGGAAGAGUAAGUGCUCCAGCUUCAUGGGACAUUGCCUGCCCUUCCUGCAUACCUGGUGGAAGAUUCCACUGCAGCAUCCCUGCAGCUCUUACCACCUGCACAAGACUGCACCAAGAUGGGUUUUCAUCUGCUGUACUGCUCUGCUCUUAACAACAGCCAUAUAGAUGAGGGGCUUUGGAAAAAGGACUUGAAAUGUGGCAGGACUUCGGCUUGGGUGCCAGGAAUGUGCUGCUUGCCUGCAAAAAACCUCCAUCCAAAUUUUGCCAAGUUAUAAACCUCUGAAGAAAUAAAUCAUCCUGAUCACAGCACUCCCUAGAGCUGGACAACUAAAAAAAUCCUCCCUGUCUUUAUUCCACACCCAGGGGUCCCUAUGAGCCCCCCUGGGGUCUGCACCUGAGCCCCCCUGCACGGAACUUUGUGUUGCAGCCCUGGG